UACGUAGGUGGCAAGCGUUGUCCGGAUUUACUGGGUGUAAAGGGCGUGUAGCCGGGUUGACAAGUCAGAUGUGAAAUCCUGCGGCUUAACCGCAGAACUGCAUUUGAAACUGCAUCCCUUGAGUGCGCGAGAAGUAUGCGGAAUGCGUGGUGUAGCGGUGAAAUGCAUAGAUAUCGCGCAGAACUCCGAUUGCGAAGGCAGCAUGCCGGCUCCACACUGACGCUGAGGCACGAAAGCGUGGGUAUCGAACAGG
rnacentral:rRNA from 1 species